rnacentral:rRNA from 1 species
CCCUUAGAUGUUCUGGGCUGCACGCGCGCUACACUGGUGCGUUCAGCGAGUUUAGCACCUUAACAGAUAUGUUUGGGUAAUCUUCUGAAAACGCACCGUGAUGGGGAUCGAUUAUUGUAAUUAUUAAUCGUCAACGAGGAAUUCCUAGUAAGUGUGAAUCAUCAGUUCGCGCUGAUUACGUCCCUGCCCUUUGUACACACCGCCCGUCGCCGCUACCGAUUGAGUGGUCCGGUGAAUUAUUCGGACCGGUGGACUGUGGGGAAACCCGCGGCCUGCUGGGAAGUCUUGUGAACCUUAUCACUUAGAGGAAGCAGAAGUCGUAACA